rnacentral:rRNA from 1 species
AUUGAACGCUGGCGGCAGGCCUAACACAUGCGAGUCGAACGGUAACAGGAAGAAGCUUGCUUCUUUGCUGACGAGUGGCGGACGGGUGAGUAAUGUCUGGGAAACUGCCUGAUGGAGGGGGAUAACUACUGGAAACGGUAGCUAAUACCGCAUAACGUCGCAAGACCAAAGAGGGGGACCUUCGGGCCUCUUGCCAUCGGAUGUGCCCAGAUGGGAUUAGCUAGUAGGUGGGGUAACGGCUCACCUAGGCGACGAUCCCUAGCUGGUCUGAGAGGAUGACCAGCCACACUGGAACUGAGACACGGUCCAGACUCCUACGGGAGGCAGCAGUGGGGAAUAUUGCACAAUGGGCGCAAGCCUGAUGCAGCCAUGCCGCGUGUAUGAAGAAGGCCUUCGGGUUGUAAAGUACUUUCAGCGGGGAGGAAGGGAGUAAAGUUAAUACCUUGGCUCAUUGACGUUACCCGCAGAAGAAGCACCGGCUAACUCCGUG